UCUGCCCGUCUUCCAAACCCACAAAAAGAAGAAUGUCAUUUUAGCUGAUCCUGGGAUAAGGCCCGUUCCGCCCCAACUCUUCCAUCAUCUGAAGCUUCUCG
rnacentral:lncRNA from 1 species